GGAAAAGGAGAGCAAGGUCCACUUCCAUAAUUACCUUGCGGUUGUGAACUUCUGUAUCUGAAAUCAUGAAGAAAAAAAUUUAUGGCUUAUUGGGGAGGACAAAACCCAGGAGUAAAAGAGGUCUGCAGUGGCCGAGCGGCGUCUGACUAGUAUUUGCCACACUAGCAAUUUUGUGUUCAAAUCCCGAGAUUUUUAAUGGAGGACAGUAUAAAAAAAGGGUUCGCAGCUGCAGACAUCAACUCCCCGGUGUAUUUCUGCUGAAAAAGCAUAUUUUGAAGAGAAAAUUUUUUUUUAAUGAAUUAAAUUUUGAAAUAAAAAUUGUAAUUGUAAAAAUUUUUUUCUCUUAUAUAUGUGAAAAUAAAAAUAAAUUUAGAAAUCUAUUUUGCUCUAAAAACAAAAUGUUCUACAUCUAUUGAUGAUAUCAAGUAUGUAAUUUCUUCCAAGCCAUGAGGAGCGUUCAAGAAUGAGGAAAUUUUGAAUAAACCUUUUUCAUUUUUUUGCCGACGCUUCGACCUUUAUUCAGGUCAUCUUCAGAAUCUGGGUAAAUUGCAAAACGUAUGUUGAUUGGAAAAAAUGCAAUACUGAUGUAAAUAUAAAUUUUGAACCACAUAUUUCAUAAUCACAUGAAGUGUGAUGCCAUUCUUGUGGUUUCAUAUUGGUUUUAUGUGAAAGUGUUGUGAAACGUGAAUUUGUAUUCUGUUGUUUUUAUUUGAUUUCACAGGUGUUUUUCAUAUAAA